rnacentral:rRNA from 1 species
UGGGGAAUAUUGCACAAUGGGCGCAAGCCUGAUGCAGCCAUGCCGCGUGUAUGAAGAAGGCCUUCGGGUUGUAAAGUACUUUCAGCGGGGAGGAAGGGAGUAAAGUUAAUACCUUUGCUCAUUGACGUUACCCGCAGAAGAAGCACCGGCUAACUCCGUGCCAGCAGCCGCGGUAAUACGGAGGGUGCAAACGUUAAUCGGAAUUACUGGGCGUAAAGCGCACGCAGGCGGUUUGUUAAGUCAGAUGUGAAAUCCCCGGGCUCAACCUGGGAACUGCAUCUGAUACUGGCAAGCUUGAGUCUCGUAGAGGGGGGUAGAAUUCCAGGUGUAGCGGUGAAAUGCGUAGAGAUCUGGAGGAAUACCGGUGGCGAAGGCGGCCCCCUGGACGAAGACUGACGCUCAGGUGCGAAAGCGUGGGGAGCAAACAGG